CUGUUCCCAUGGGGCUCUGGGAUGCAGCAUAAAAGACCAUGCUCCUGCAGGCUCUGCAUCCACUUCUCUUCUCUCUCCCUUUCCUUGAGGAACGAGCUUUGCCUCCCUCGACGAGAGAUGUCUUGCUUCAGACCCUGUGUCCCAUCCCCCUGCGGUGCCUCUGGCCCAACCCCACUUGCAAGCAGCUGCAGUGAGCCGUGUGUCGCCCGGUGCGCUGACUCGACGGUUGCCAUCCAGGCCUCCCCGGUCGUGGUGACCCUGCCGGGCCCCAUCCUCACCUCUUUCCCUCAGAGCACCGCCGUGGGAUCCUCUCUGUCAGCUGCUGUUGGCAGCUCCCUCAGCACUGGGGGGGUUCCCAUCUCUUCUGGGGGCUCCCUUGGUCUGGGAGGGUCAGGGCUGUGUCUGCCUUCCCCACUCUGCCGCUUCAACUGCUGAAGCGCGGGGAUCAUCCCAUUUGGGGCAGACAUCCCUGAGAUGGGUGGGCCAUUCUCUCUGCCUCCCUGAACCCUGCAAACGUUCUUCUUGGUCUCUGUACUGUGCCACUGCAUUUCUACCUUCUCAUUAAAGACCUUGUGCAGCAUA